GACCAUUGGAUAUAACUAUCGUCAGUCAGUCUCUCCAUAAUUAUUCAUACUCUUUCUAAUAUUGGACUUGAUUCUAUAUCAGAGUGUGAUCAUCUGGACAAGAAGAUGCCCGACAAUGGGAUAUUGUGACAAUCUAUUAAUUGAAGAUUUUGAAAAAAAAAUUAUAGAAUUGUUGGAAAUUAUUAGAAUAUUUAUGAGAUAAGUAAUGCUACAUAUUUUCUAAAUUUUUGGCAAAUUAUAAAUUUA
rnacentral:lncRNA from 1 species